UACGAAGGGGGCUAGCGUUGCUCGGAAUCACUGGGCGUAAAGCGCACGUAGGCGGCUUCUAAUGUCAGGGGUGAAAUCCUGGAGCUCAACUCCAGAACUGCCUUUGAUACUGGAGAGCUUGAGUCCGGGAGAGGUGAGUGGAACUCGAGUGUAGAGGUGAAAUUCGUAGAUAUUACGGGAAGAACACCGAGGCGGAGGAGG
rnacentral:rRNA from 1 species